rnacentral:lncRNA from 1 species
GACUUCCUAAAGAAAACUGAAAUCACAGUUUAUCAAUCACUCACAAGACCACCGAGAUCUUCGACUUAGCUCCCAAAGGUAAUCCACCAGGCCCUUUCCCAACCUAUACAAGGAGAGCGGAAGAUAACGAAAGUGAGAUAAGGUCCUAACUAAAUAGAACACAAACUCCCAUUCCAUCUAUCAUAUCAGUCGAGUCGAUCUAAUUCGUUCUUAUCUAUAGAUAACGCAAGAGAGAACUUAUGACCUCGCGGAUGGAGAGGGAUUCCAACCCCCGGUAUUUAUAUAAAUACUUCGGUUUUCAAGACGGACUCUUUCAACCGCUCAGACAUCCAUCCCCUUCGCGCUUCGCCCGCCCUAUCCAUCUGCGCACUGGCAGGUAGGGGAUUAUCUAUGUGAUUCGCUACGCUUUCCUGCGCCUAUCGUCUGAUUCUAUUGUCUGCCAGUUAGCGAAACUUUUCCAGUAGUACGAAUCGCUACGCUUCUCCUCUUUCUAUAUGAUAAUAUGCAUCUUGGUUGCUGCGCUCCCUAAGGGUAAUAGCAAGAGAGUGAAUAAUGAAUGAUCCUCCAAACUAAAAGAGUGAUUGAGUUCGACUCAAGCGAGUGAGUGGAAGGCAUGGCAAGGGAGCGGGUUCGACUCGCGAACGAUCAGUAAGUGAAGGACCGAUCCUUUUACGCCAAUACUGUUGCGAGACUGGUACUUGGAGGCUCACAAGCAACAUAUAGACUAAGGUUGCCCAUCACUCCCUCUCUUUUUUUUGAAGGCCCUUUCAAUUCUCUUUCUAGUAUGGUUCCUCCAUAAGAACACUGAACACCCAGCUUCGCAGAGCAGCUCUCUCCCCAGCCCACAGCAUAGUGUGAAAUAUGUAUCCUUUCAUCGAGCACCAUUUCUUUUAGAUAGAAAGGUGUUCUGACUCUAUUGGAUCAAGUCAUAACCUAAGCCUUCUACUAGUAGACUACUAUGGAGAGACUAAGCUCUAUUUCAGAGAUUGGACUCUCUUACUAUGAUUAGCACCUACUAGUAAGAAGCUGUUCUCGAGCCAGGUUCCCUGGAUCCACGUGUUCCUAGCCGGGCCUAAAUGGAUGAAUGAUGAAGGGCACCCGGGUAGACUUCAAGAGCUCUUGCUCUGCCUAUCCUCCUGCUUAUUAUUCUGAGGGUCAUAGAAAGAUACGAACCGCCUACUCUUUAAAGCCCUACCAUUUGAUUGACUAAAAUGAAAGCUGCUUGUCCUCACUAAUAAAAAACAGCAAUCCGUCCCCUUCUGUUACCUACUUUUACUCAUUUCUUUGGUAUACCUCAAUACAAUACAAUCACAGGAAAGGAUAAACAAUAAAAACUGGGCUAUCGCCCUAUCUGAGCAGCUUUCCCCUCUCCUUUACUGAAGUAAUCUUUUAAUCUAUUUCAGUUCCUGUGUUUGUCGCUAUCGCCCUAUUCUCUCUCAAUUGCCUAUCCUUUCUAGAUGAGUGGGAAUCCCUUAGCAGUAGCUUCCAACACUUAAGAUUGACCUCCUCAAGUGCCAGAUAUGAAUGUUUUAUGAAUUUCAUACGGGACUACUUACUUACCUAAAGUUCACUUUUGGCUUACCAAAAAAGUUGACUGAAGGAACUGACCUAAGCAUAGCUCUCUCUCUCAAAUACAAAUGCCAAGAAAGGGAUUCCUUGGAUAAAGUGGAAAAAUGCUAAAAAAAUCCUUUCAUUUCUCUUUGAAGGCCUUUGUCCUACUUAUAGUAUCAGUCCUCCAGCCUAUACUUGUGUUUUUAUUAACCAAGAACACAUGCACUUUGUUGGCACUAAAAAAAAGGAUAUUCAAUCCACUAGUGUAAUUGAAGGUGCGCAACCUCUUCUGAACCGGAACAAGAAAGGGCUCAUAACCACUUCUUGUGAACAGCUCUCCUCAACUUAAGGCGCACCUACUCUACUAGAAGUCUAGUCUCUCUCAGGUCCAGUUUCGAUCUCUAACUAACUAACUUACAUCAUAGGCCGGAAGAGAGAUAUUCAGAAAACCCGAUUUCCUGUCUUAAGAACCUGACUCAAAAGAGAAAAGAAGACCGGACUAAAAGAGAUCUCACUUUCGACGAUUGAACUUGACUUUUAUAUCCAGAUUGGAACUGGACUUAAACGUCUUUGGAUCCUACUUAGGGCCGGCUUUCACUCCACUUUCACUUUCAUAUCAGGAACGUCGACUUGCACUUGCAAUAUAGAAUUUGACUUUCCGGAAUCCUUGCUCCUGGAUUAUAUUCACAUAGGCCACUCAUAAGAAUAAGACGUUCAACUCCCUAAAACACGUGUAAUUGAGAGAGUCAUCAUAUCAGUGCCUUGGGGAAAUUCCUACCUUUAGGAGAAGAUUACCGAAUGAGUUUCAAACCUGUCCUCUUCGCUUCCCAAGAUAUUUAGGGAAAGGGGCCUUGUCGGCCACCGCUUGCUGACGACAGAACGCAUCGUCAAUUAAUGGGUCCUCGCCUUGGACUUAGUUGGAAAGGUAGGUGUUCGGCAUAUCCCUUGCUUGCGAACUUCUUUAGUAGGGCGGAGGUGCCAUUCCUCACGUUUACCGUUGUCCCCAGACUUCACUCUUUCAACACUUGUAUACUUUAUAAAGAUUCAGGCAUGCCCCUGUCCCUGUCUCCAACUGUGUGAUCCACCGAUUCACUGAGUGACUUUUUCAUACCGCUGCGCUUACGUCCCUAUCUCUUAAAGCCCUAUCAGACUUCCUUUGCCGAUUGAAGAAAGCCUUAUAUGGCUUCAAACAAGCGAUAAAGGCCCUUUCUAUCUUAUUAGUCAAGCGCGCUAGCUGCAAUAAAAAAACAACGCUAACGAGCAAGAAAAUGGAUGCGCUAAGGCGCAACUUCGCGCAGCUGCUGCGCCCUUGCUUAUUGCUUUCAAGCCGGAGCUUUCUAGGUAGUGAAGUGGUCCGUGAAGGUUAAAUAAGACUUGUGUUAAGCAAGCAGAGUAGUCAAGCCAGAGAGGAAAAAAAAGUAAGAAGCUGUUUUUAUUCGAUCGACGGAAUCAAUCGUACUUUCACUGCUGUGGACUGGCUUUCAUAAAGCACAUUUGGGUGGCAGCAACUAUUGGGAUCCAAUUUCGAGAUCAAUUCGACAUUGAAACUCUUUAAGCAAUGAUCUUAUCUAUGUCAUUUCUCUUGACGCGAUACAAAAGACGACUUUCGAGAGUCACUUAGCCCAUUGACCUCUUCUCUUAAAAAAGACGCUGUGCGGGCAAGUCGAUCAAAGUCAGAGCGGGGAGGUAAUGUUUAUUUACAGUUGUUGUAGUACGACUUUUCAUUUCCUAUUCAUCCUUUCAAUAAGUAGUCAUACUUAACAUUGAUUGAAACAGUUGUUGGAGAGAAGGCACCAGUCAGACCUGCAAGCACCGGGUAGUAUGCAGCGGCAGUCUUCAAUCAUACAAUGUGUACUCUUAGUAUGACUUUUAGCGGUAGUCAACUGUCCUCGUUCUCCUCUUUGAAUUGCCCUAUUUAGUAAGGGUCGGUGUUUGCAAAAAUGUCAAGCUGACGGGGUCAGGUACAAGUAGUGACAAUAGCAAAGGGGGGCUGGACACUAGUUGUGCGAGUGGAAGGACCCAACUGGACCUAGUCAGCCCGAACCGUUUUGCGGUUCUAGAGGACCCUGAACAAGAAGAGGCAAAGAUGCCAGAUCUGGACACUGCUGAACCGGAAGAGAUUGCUCAGGAUGAGUGUUUGGGUAACAAAGCCGAGGAAGGUGUAGUCAAGGAGAGAACUCCCGAGGAGAGUGAUUUGGCUCAUAGAAGCGAGGAUCUGGAAGAGAGGGUCAACUAUGGCAGUGACUGAGGGGACUUGUUCUGUAAUAAACAAAUGACUUCAAACAAGAACCUCAGGGCAUCCAAAAGAGGUGAACCUGAGAAGAGCAGUAAGAGUAAGCGUUCAAGUACUGGUGCUAUGACCAUCAAGGUGGAAGAUCCUCCCCUGGUUCGAAUCACCCUGAAUGAAGAGUGGGCGAACAAGAUGCAAAACAUAUCAUAAAUGUUGAAUUCUAAGAAAGAGGGGGGAGGGGGAAAGUAAAGUCCAAAGAACAAAAGACAAAUAAGGGUUGCACAAGACGAAAAACCAGAGGUAGCGCUAAGGUGCGAGGGGAAUGUAAAAACAACAAUAGUUCCACAUGAAGGUCCUUAUAUGGAAUGUCAAAAUGAUCGGUAAAGUCGAGAAGCAGAGGGAGGCCAAAGAUUAUAUAAGAGCACAAGAGGCAGAUUUGAUUGGCUUGGUGGAAACCAAAGUGAGGAGUGGAAAGGCAGCCAAAAUUACCAGAUGCUUGGGAAAGAAUUUAAAGUAAAUCCAUUACUGUGGAGAAUGAGUAAAUAAGUUUGACGAGUGUAAGGGCUAGUAAGACCUACCCACUUUAUUGAGCAUUUUCAUUCACUGAAGCAACUUAAACAAAAUAAAAGUAAAAGAAAUAAAUUCAUUGACUUCGAAAAGGAGGUCAAUUAAAUGAGUACUAAUUCUCUUCUAUCUUGUACCCAAAAUGCGAUACACUGAACACCAACCCAAACUCCCUACCCUCAUAAAAAAAAAGUUACCCCCUUUGUUUGAUUAGUCAGUUUUCAAGAGGGGGAAGUUCUUCUGGAAAUCUCAGGCAUACUACUAAUCGAUUAUUUGGCCUGAUCGAAACAACCUAGGAAAGGUUGUCAGCCUACAUAAAUAGAGCUACCCGCUUUAUUGAGCAUUUUCAUUCACUGAAGCAACUUGAAAAAAAUAAAAGUAAAAGAAAGAAAUUCAUUGACUUCUAAAAGGAGGUCAAUUAAAUGAGUACUAACUCUCUUCUAUUACUUUGUUGUACCGGGUUAACAAGAGCUGACCCUCUUUAUUCACUACAGUCCCGGAACAGAACAAUCUUGUGUCAUAAGAAAAGCUAUUAUCCAAAUCGAAAUUUGCUUUUUUUUUGAUUGGCUUCAUCCCGAACGUCCCAUUACUGAUGGGGAAAUCUGUUCGGAAAGAGAUAUUUAUUAAAUAAUAAAAGCGGCAUUAUCCCUAAACUUUAAGAACACACAAAGAAAUCAUGCAACACAACUUAUUAACAUCAUCUGCAGGAACCAUCCCUUCUUCAAUGUCUAUUGAUACUAGCUUCUCAAAUGUAAAAUCACUAAAGAUCCCCUUUAUUUUACCAUGUCUACUGAGGUCCCAAAGCAGAUAUUGCUAUUAGUCCCAGCUCAUUGAUAAAGUUCUUAAAAUCCCUUGCUCCAGGUUUUGACUGGUUCGAAAGGACGAGGAAGCAGAUGUCUAUUCAAUAGAAGAAGUUGUUCGACCUUUCUUUAAUUUAGUUUGAACCACCCGAAACAAAAGGAAAAUCAGGCUAGGAGAUGACUCGUAAUCGAUACGGCUGUUGGACCCUGGACCCACCCGGCCCGUAUAUUUCAUAAGAUGUGUUUCAUUCGGGAGUAUGAACUAGACUUUUUUCAUUGCCCCACCCAAGGCAGAUCGAACAAAAGAUCUUCCCACUAAUGCUUUCAUUCUCCCGGCUAUGAUACUGGUAAAGAGCCCUGUUCAUUCUCUCUGACAUGGUUGUUGAGACACUCUAAGUAGUCAUGGGAAAGAUAAAUGUCAUCUGUGUGAAGGAUAAUAUGAUAGCUUCUUCCUUUUCUGUGCGUGGGUUAGCCCUUGAUCGGAUACUUAUUCUUUUUUAAAAGUCAAAAAAUAGAGUUCUUUUCACUUUAACAACUAUGUUUUUUCUAACAACUCGAAAGGCGAUUCCCCCUACUAUCUACAACUCUAGACGCGACAAGAGUGCUUAUUCCCCAAAAAAAAGAUUCAUUCCCCUUCUCUUCCCGACGAUCGGUAAUUCUUUCUAACAGCUCCAUCUGCCAAUCUGAGAACGACGCCCUUCUUGCAAAAUCUCUUCUUACGCUAACCCUGUUCGUGGGAUCUUUUAUCCUUUCCUUCUUCCUAGUACAGUAAGAAUGGAAUUGCCUGAAUGAUAUCAGUUAGAGCGCAUUCCCUCACAGCUUCUUUUCUUCUCAAGCACUUGCUAUUUCAUCUUCUCUUAGAUAGGCUAUCUUCCGAUUCAAUGCCAUCAAAAUGUACUUAGCAUGCCUACUUUUCCUUAUUAGUUCAAAUAGUCCUAGCUAGAAUCUCAAGCUCUGAUAAACCCGCAACAAGAACAACCUUUAUUUUAUGCCGUGCCGAAAGGACUAAGAGCUCUUAUUCCAUAGUGUUUAGCACAUAGCAGUCUACGCAGUACUGAUUCCUGGCGGUUCCGCUAAUCUUCCUAUAAAUUCCAUUCCUAAAAAACCCGGCAAUCAUAGACUGCUUUGGUUUAUCUAGUCUUGAUAAAUGAAAGAGACCCGCUCUUAUUCCACACAGUCAAAGAAAAAGGCUGUCUUCUCAAAGUACGUACCUGUACCGAGGAGACCAGACCUUGGGAAGGCAUCACCUAUGCUAGAAGGCUUAACAGUCCUCUUUAUUAGCAGCCCAGAUCUGUUUUGUGCUCGGCUUGAUGCUAUCUCAGAUGUCCAUUCAAAAAGAGCUAUUGGGGGCAGCCCUACUAAUUCGUAUUCGUUUUUUAAGACAGGAGCUCCUAGGCAAACUCGGAAAAGAAGGAGUGGCUCCCAUCCCUAAACAAAGCACCAGUCAGCUUUUGCCUUCCUUCUAACAUAAAAUAUACGGAGAGAGGAAUCGGCAUAAUAAAGUAGGAAAAUUUACUGAAUAAGUGCGGGAAAUAUUCUUAAAAGAGCUUCUUCGAAAUUUCGUUAUCUUUUUUAAGAUAGAAAGCCGAAUCACUAACAAAGGAAUUUUCUUUUGAGAUGUUGACAACGUCAAAACAAAAAGAGAAGGUUUUAGUGAAUCAUCAUUUUCUCACGAUUGGGUGGGUGUGAAGUGUACUGAGGUUAAGGUACAAUACCGAGCUCGAGAUGUUAGAAGGUGCAAAAUCAAUGGGUGCAGGAGCUGCUACUGAAUCCGGUCUUAGAUGGUUGGAAGACAGAAGCAAUAGCAUAAUAGGAAUAGCAGGUUUAAUAGAGAUGACAUCACAAUAGGAUGAAGAUGAGACUUCUUAUCUGCUUUCACGUGGAAAUGGGAUAAUGUAAAAAUGUCUUUGAAAGGCAACUAGUGAGAGGGAUUACUUGCUAACGUAUCCCUAAGGGCAUAUCGUCUAAGUCCAGGAGUUAGUGCAUUGGAUUCCUGGGCAACUGCAUCUAGUAGAGUUUACUUAACACCAAGCAAAUCUCCUUUCUAGUCUAGGACUUAUAGCUUUGGAAACUUAAUUAGUCCUACAACUCCCCUAGCUGCACAUAAAUGCACAGAGAAGGCCCUCGCUCGGGUUCUUUAACAUCGACUCGGUUGCUAGGAAGAGUGCGGGCUUAGAGACAAUAGAACUUGUGUUCCUUCGUCACCCUCUAGUGUACCGAACUUGUGAAAAGCAUGUUUAAGAUAUGUACGGACAAAAGUAGUUGCUUAGAUUGCAUAUAUAAGAAUAGGAAUCGAAUCCACAACUAUUGAUAUUAAAUCCGUUGUUCUCACCUUAAAAGCUGUGUAAGCCAAGGGGGGACUUUGAACUGUUAAGAGGUGCCUAGCGCUAUCAUCAAUAUGAAAGAAUAAGCUUCUGGGUUGUACCUGUACAACUAGGGAUUGGAGGACGUUGAAUAGUAAACUAAACGAAGAUGAGGCUGUCUAAUUGGCCGAACGGAAGAUCGACAUGAGAAGCCGAUGUUCUUGGUACAGAAUCCCAUGCACAUUUCUUAACUGUUUUGUUAGGCAUUGGCAUGAGCAAGAAAGCAGACAAGAGGAAAUCAGAAGAAUGGGGAUUCGACCUAUUUUUUCCCCUUCUUUUUUGCAAGAAAAAAAAAAGUAACUGAACUAAACAGUAAAAAGGAGGCAUAGUAGCAAAAAUAGAAAGAUGCCCAUCCCAUUGUAUUUGGAUUUGGAAAGAAAGAAGAAUAUAGGCUCUUUAUUCUUUUAUAGAAUAUUUUCUUAAAGUUAAGUUAAUCGGAAAAUUGAAAAUUGCAUAUAGUAUAUAAGAAAGGUAUUCGCUCUGGCUUUUUAGGAAGAACACUGUUUGCAAGAUCUGGUCUUAGUGAGAGAGUUGGGAUUGAGCUUUCACUAAUACUAAUAGAAGAAUUUUUAGUAAAGGGAGGAAAGAGCUAGGUCUCGUAUAGAAGAAGGGGUUUUUUCGCUUUUCGACAGGAGAUGAUACAUAAGUACUCUUGAUCUUCUAUCUGUAUUCGUUGCUCUUAGCCUUGUUAGAAUCCAAUGUUAGGAGGAAGAAUUCAAUAGGCAUCCCAAUAUCCAUUUUCUUAGAUAGAUAAGAGAUCUCAGGUAUUCGCCUAUGAGGUCAUCACAUAAUAGGUUGAAAAAAUCCUUAUUAGGAAGAAGACUUGGACAAAUCCCCGGUAUUAUAGAAGUAGCUAGCAAGUCUAGGCACCUGAUGCAUGUGAGGGUAAGGGAAGUAAGUCUUUUUGGCACGUAUGAGUAGCUGUCACGAAUCGAAGUUUCAAAAGCCAAAAGAGAAAUUUUUCGAAAAGAAAAAGGUUGGUUGAGACACAGGAUGAUAGGGCGGGCGGCCGACUUUUGGUACUUUCUGCCAACUCGAUUUCAAUACUAAGUAAGCUCCUCAUUGCAUAAGUAAGAAAGUUCAGCUAGAUAGGGUAAAGAGAGGGGCGGAUGAGAGUUAUAAUAAUUUUCUUCCUUCCAUACAGGUCUGCGAGCAUCCCAUCUUUUUCUUACGUGGAUGAAGAAAGACAGAACCCCUCUUUUCAGCCACAGCCAACAGUUCGCUUUCCACUUCCGAAUACCAAAGAGUGAUUGAGAUAAGAGCAGUACAUAGGACUUAAAGAGAGGGUUCCUUCCUCUCUUCACUCUCUGAAUUUUGAUCCUCACCUUUUUGGUGCCAAAGGCCUACCCUUCCACUUUAGAGGAAGUUCUAAAGGAAGAAGUCGAAAAGGAAAAGAAAGUCACCUUUCCUGCCAACCUCCUGGCUUUAUUCUUAUACUGAUCGAGCUGCACUAUUUUCUAUUCUAAUAUAUUCCACUUCACUUGCUUGCACAACUUCCUCUUUGCUUAAAAAGGGGGCAAGUCAAGUAAGUAAGCAGUGAUCUAAACCAAAGCACAAGCUUUGAAAUAGAAAGAAAAAUAUAAGGAAAGAAAGAAAGAACUAUCUGACUUCUCUAUCUUUCUAUGAGCUUCUAGGAAAGAGAUCCUACUCCCAAAGAAAGGAAGCUUAAGAAUAGUCAUUAAGAGAGGUGACGGUGAUCCUAUUUUGCUUUUUCAAGCUAUGAAUGUAGAGAUCAGGUUGAAGAGUGAAAGGGACGAAGUGGUAUGAAGUUGCUUGAACGUAGCGCUCGGGAGGUUGUGCUUGACCGAAAGGGUAAGGGCAAGAAUACUUGGAUGGACGUAGUUCAGGAUCGAUGUAAUUGAGACAACUAAGUAGAGGAUGUGAAGAUGUGAGACCGGACAAAGGUGGUUCUAUAUAGCUCUUACGCUUUUACAAAUCGUACUAUUUUAUUAUAAACUUUGUGAAAACGUUCUUUACUCGCUACAAGUAUUUCGCUCUAGCUCUCUAGUUCUCUUAGCUAUUGUUACAUUUUUUGACUCGUGGAAAGUGGAAAGGCAGAAGCGUCGGCUAGUCAGCCACGGACUACUUGACUUCCUUAUGAUGAUUCAAUGUUAAUGACCUCAUUCACGGACAAGCUCUAAGGGAAUAAUCUCUUUCUUAUUUCUGUAUUUCUUUCCCAUGACGACUAAGAACAGGCAAAUUAAAAAUUUCACUUCGAAUUUCGGACCUCAACAUCCUGCUGCUCAUGGUGUUUCACGAUCAGUAUUGGAAAUGAACGGAGAAGUGGUGGAACAUGCGAAACCACAUAUUGGAUUACUCCAAUGCGGCACAAAGCCACUGAUGCCAAGUCGGCUCCUAUGCCGCUAGCUAUACCCUGCUUGGUCCCUCUCCCCCGACACGGUAGAGGUUCCGUAGCACGUCAUGAGCACCGGGCUAAGGGGCGGUUGAGCAACUCAAGCGAACCGCCUUACCUUAUUCCAACAUAGGGACAGAAGGGAGAAGGUUGUGAAGGUGGCCUCGUUAUCCAUACCUCUGGUCGGAUGAAUGGAGGACUGACCUACCCGGGUUUUCACGAGCGUUGGCGGGUUCUGGAGUGCCUGUUAAGGGCGCUAGCGCAUACCCUGGGGUGAUCAUCACCACCUUCACCUCACAUCUCGGCACAGUGGAACGUGUAACUCGCCUGCUAUUCCAUUCAACUACAUUGGUUCCUUUAAUCCAUAGCUUAAAAGAAUGCAGUAGCGAGGGACAACCCACCCAUACAGCCAGCGGGGAGGAUGGCACUACUGGCAAAGACCGUCUGGCAAAAACGCCGCAGGCGCGAAGCGUGGUAGACCUGCGCCGGGGGAGCAUACCAUAGGGAGGAAAGGGAGCACGGACGGUGGAAGAGCCAGGGGAGGCCGGGUCAUUUGAUGGAAAUGGAAGGCUUUUCCCUAUUAGAGAAGGCCCUAUGGAGUAAAGGGAAGUGGAUGAAAUCUUGGAAAAAGAGGGAGCGAGCCUAUAUAAAAUAGAAAAUGAAAUAAAGAAAAUUCCAUGAAUAGAUAGAGUCAACGGUACGACAGACAGCGUUGCCUACACGCGAAUUAGCUUCCGAGGUUGAGCAGUCUCAAUUUCACUACAAGAUUUGCAAAUGAAUGCUUGGCUGGGCCACCUCGAAUGGCAUGAGCCGCAUGCGGGGAGACCCGCACGUACGGUUUUUAGGGGGAUCUGGUCGAAAAACCGGUCGGCACCCACCCGACUAGAGGGACUGAGAAAUUAAUUGAGUACAAAACUUAUCUUCAAGCUUUACCUUAUUCUGAUCGGUCAGAGGGCGAUCGCGGGGUCACUGAAUGAAGUCCUCCGUUUCUUUCGGAGGUGCUAACCCGCAGCGAGGCAGAGAUGACUAAGUGACAUAUGGAAUAUGGCGACGACAAUAGCAUGUCGUAGAAGGAGAUAACAGGUGGAGUCAAUGACCCACUAAGACUAACCUAUCUACAACUACAUCCCCGAGCGACAGUCAAACAGGGGCGUGAAUGCGAGAUGCCAGCAGAAUUAUCGGCCGGACAGAGGCUAGGGCUGCUUCCUUCCCACCGCGUCCUUCCUUGUGUUUCGGAGAUAUAAAGCGAGUGCACCGAAAAAGAACGGGAACUGGAUCGAUCUAUUCUAUGGUGAAGCAUCCGAAGCAUAACUGCACACUCACACGAUCUUUGCCGAGAGAUAGGAGAAUUCGGUGGAACCGGUGAACUACACUUGCUUCUGGAUAGAUGUGUGGGACAGAGGGCUCGUGGUACCUGCUGCCCACCCUUCCUCCUCUGCUUUGAUAACCGUGUGAAUGGAGAGUGGGUAGAAGAGAAGGAGGUCCUUAUACAGAGUCGCACACUUACUUGAGCAGUGCGGGAGACUAGGGAAUGGGUCGAAUAAACUCCCCUGGGGCCGGAAAAAGAACAGACGAAGCUUUACUUAGAUAGGGAUUUGAUUGGGAUUUUUUUUUCUUAGUGAUUUGAAAGGAGGGCGCCUGGGUAUGUUAUAGAAAGGGAAGGCGGAAGCAUCGAAUGGCGAAGAGAGGCGGCUCGGUAGGGAAGGAAUGGGAAAUCGUCAAGGAUGACUUCUUUGUUGGAAGAACGAAGGGCUAAAUAGUGAGAGUGAUUCUCUGAGCCGGUCUGUAUUUCUAACGCCUCGGGAAACUGGUCGAGAUAGAUGACAGCACCUUUUUCCCCUCUUCCUUACCGGUAGGGCAAUCUUCCCUUAUGGCCUUCACCCCCCGCCCAGAAAUAGAGAACCAAGCCCCUUUCUGAUCCAUUCAUUUCUGCAAGCAGGGAGGAUCCAGAGCGUUGCCCCCUCCUAUUCGAGGGUUUUCCUCUCCCCACAAUCACCCAACCAUCCUUUUGCUCUUCCUUCGGUUUGCCUCCACGAACGCGCCACUUAGGAGCCCUACUCCUAUUCCAAAGGCGCUACUUCAAUUCAAGCACAAGCCCCCCCCCUCCCCCUUCUAUUUCAUAACUUAAAAAAGCUAUAAACAAAGUACCAAAGUGGUUACGGGAACGAUACGCUUUGGUUACCGGCGAAGGCUUCCAAAGGCGACCAGCUUUCCAUACUAGUUGUUACCUUACGCUGCCAUUUUCCCAAUAUUAUUGAAUAGCAUGGCCUGGGGCUAAGAUAACUCAAGUGGGAGAGCCGUGUUAUGGGUGACCUUAUUGCACUGUUCAGAGAGCACUUGUGUAUAUGAUGCAAGUGAACGUCUAUGAAAAAUCUAUCGUAAAGUUUCAUUCUUCGUUCCGUCGUCGACCCUAUCUAUGUUUCUAUGAUGGCCCAAGAACACGCUCAUUCUUUAGCCGUAGAGAUACUUUUGAAUUGCGAGGUACCAUUACGAGCUCAAUAUAUACGAGUGUUAUUCCGUGAAAUAACUCGAAUUUCAAAUCAUUCACUUGCUUUAACUAGUCAUGCUAUGGAUGUAGGAGUAUCAACUCCGUUCCUGUGGGCUUUUGAGGAGCGGGAGAAAUUGUUGGAAUUCUAUGAAAGAGUCUCGGGAGCUAGGAUGCAUGCCAGUUUCAUACGACCAGGUGGAGUGGCACAAGAUCUGCCUAUUGGCUUAUGUAUAGAUAUUGAUUCAUUCACACAACAAUUUGCUUCUCGUAUCGACGAAUUAGAAGAGAUGUCAAUCGGCAACCGUAUCUGGAAACAACGAUUAGUGGAUAUUGGUAUUGUCACUGCACAGCAAGCAAAGGAUUGGGGAUUCAGUGGUGUAAUGUUAAGAGGUUCUGGGUUUGCUGGGAUUUGCAAAAAGCAGCACCUUACGAUGUUCAUAACCAAUUGGAUCCUGACAUACCAGUAGGUACCAGAGGAGAUCGCUAUGAACGUUACUGUAUUCGUAUCGAAGAGAUGCGACAAAGUGUUCGGAUCAUUGUACAAUGUCUUAAUCAAAUGCCUAGUGGCAUGAUCAAAGCCGAUGAUCGUAAGCUAUGUCCUCCAUCACGAUCUCGAAUGAAACUAUCCAUGGAAUCGUACGCCGUGUGAAACGUAUAUCAUCGCCGUUCUUAAUCGAGACUCAAGUUAAGCUCCGUCUCGGAACCUUGUGGGGUUAGGAGUAAAGCAUCCCGAGGUUGGCGCAUCUCGUUGAGCGUGGAGAAGCAUUGGGAAUCUAGAACCUCAAUUAGCAGAUUCAUUGGAAACCUUUCUUGGAAGACUCAAUUCAUUAGAUAAGCCUAGUACAUAAUCACUGAUAGGAUCAUUCCUGAAAUUAACAAAUCAUUAAUGGGCACUUUGAAGCAAGUUGAUCCUAGAAGACUAACCUCGUAGCUCACUUAGAUCAAUCAGUUCAAGCAUUCACAAACCUGCCUUCCUUUUAUGUUCAGGACGGAGACUCUUUCUGCCUUUGUCGAACUGCCUUGACGCCUUGGCAGGCUUUGACCUGCUUUCCGUCGCUUACCGGAGAGCGGAUUCUUUAUUACUGACUUUUCGCGGUUGAUCGAGUUCUCAUACCCUAUACUGCUUUGUGGAAACCUAAAAUAGAAGAAAGUCUCUUUAUAAUGACUCUGUCCUAGCUAGACCGAGUCACAAGUACUUAUUAUAGAAGAUUCAGGCACACUUCCCUAUACUUCUCCUAAGUGACAUCAAAAUACUCUUUCAGCCGAUUCGAAACCAGCAAUAUAUGAGAUUGAAUCAGACAGAAGGUUCACCCCUCACCCUGGGGGAUUGGGGAGUUGAGACUUCCUUGCUCUUAGGCCUGUUGUAAGGCCAAUAAGAUCAAGAAGAAGGAGAUUGGAUUCUUCCUUUUAUCCGGACUGACUCUAAUCGUGAUUUUGACUCUAUUAUGAUACCUCCCUCUGUCGCAAUAGAAAUCGAGAAUGGAGAUGACUUCGCUACACUUGUUUAUAGUUGGAAAUUCCAACUCGAAGGCCCUAGUACUACUAACUUUGCACCAGAAACAAUUGAAGCCUUUUUUCGGCAUCCCUUCUCAGACGUCUUAUUCCUUGCCUUAGUAAUGUGCAAUCAGCUACUUGGCACCUUCCCUUAUUCUCCUUCCUUUCCUUUUAGAUCUGAGGUAGUACUAAUUAAUGCUUGAAUUGCUCCUAUUAGAAAUAGGGCUACUCUUGAGUACGAAAGAAGGAUAUUCCGAGCCUGGGCACAUCCCUUUGAUAGCUUUGUUUAGCCUCCUUUACUAUGUCAAUACCUCCGUAUUGGUUAUGGCUGAAGCCGAUCCUCUCCUUGGUACUUCACCUAGUGGCUAAUCUCAAGUCUCUUCUCUCGACCGGAUGGGCCUAUGUCACUAGAACAGGUGAGGAAGACCUCCAAUCACUGUACUGGCAAUUCAAGAUGAACUCCUUCCAUGCCAACAAUAAUAGUACUAAACUUUCAAAAGAAGAGAGAUGAGAUCAAGCUUUGAAGUUGGUAGCUGAAAGAAAGUUGUUCGUUAAGGUCAGACCAGAGCAUAAGGAAGGAAUCUCACUUAGAAGCGAAUUCCGACUACUAUUUUAGAGUACCGAAGCUCAAUGGCAUUGAUCACACCUACGACCAGAAGAAAGAAAAUACCUAGCGCCCCGGUCCCUCCAUUUACUGACUAGCUUAGAGGGCAUUCCGCACAAUGACCAGUGCAAUUCGCGCAUCUAUCGGUAGAGGGUUCAGAUAAAGUAAGUAGCUCACAAAGAGGGAGUUCUCUGGCUGGUACCAAUAGAUAGAGCUACUAGUAAGAUAAGCAAAGCCGGUUGAGAGUGGAAGGAGUUAACCUCUCAGCCUCAAGGUGAAAAAAUAUAGGUUGGAUAACACCAUUUGUUAUAAUCUCUAUAGCGACCAAAUCAAUAGAAAAUAUAAGCACCAACAAAAUGAAUCAUUCCACUUUACCCGAACUCUUUUUUCCCACAUCGGCAACAGCCUGAUUUGACCCCAUAAGCGGGACCAAGCAUGUUGCAGCGAGAAGCAGAACCCUAUAUUUCUUCUAGAGAAUCUCGUAAUUAUUCCAGAGUAACUAGAAAGAGAUUCUUUAACCAGAAAGAAUUCGGUCCAGAUGUAGGAUACCUAUCCAGAAGUUUUCGCAACUCAAUUAUAAAUGAUGGAAUCAUCAAAGAUUUGACCUUUUCGAACUCUGUCUGUAACUCACUAGAGGCCCGGGAAACAAAUAGAAGAUGUGUACGAACGAGAUAUCCAACAACAAGAAGAAGGAAAAGGAUUGAAUAGAGGAACUCCCGAGCAUUUGGCAAUCUUAGAUGUGUCGAUAUCAAUGGUGACUCAUUAUUUCGAUGAAUCAUUUCUUCGGACAGAAGAAGAUUAUGUAAACACUUACUCGAGAUCUCACUUAUCAGAUUCCAUUGUGGAAGACACAAUUUUUUCUUAAGAAUUCGUCAUGAUAUACCUAAUCCAUGCAUAAUAUCAUGAAAAAUGGGUACAAAUUUUUGACUGCUACUUAAUAUUGGCAAUAGGUCUGAAAAAGUAUCUAAAAAUAUCAAAUUUAGAUAUUUGUACCCUGUCGAAGUAAGGAACCAUGGCAUAUAUGUUUGGAAUAGAUUCCAUUUUGAGAGAGUUGAAAAAGCACUAUCUCGUUGAAAGGUUCUAUACAUUUGUCCUUGUCCUUGGUUCUAUCAGCUAUCGAGAGGGCCUACUAAUAAUAGAUUACAUGAGGUUCCACUUCGAAUUAAGCAUAUACAUCACAUAUCCUGGAUCAAGUAAAAGCACCCCUUUCUUGCUACCUAUUCCUAGAUCACGGAUCCAUUUAUCAAGGGGGUGUGCUGUCCCUAUUGGGCUGGGCCCUUCCCCAUAAGGUCCCUCCGUUGGGGCAUAAGCGCCAUCUUGCUACCCAUAUGCGAGGCGCCGUCUUAGCCUUCCCUGACCAGGAUCGCUCCCACACCUGUAGCGUUCGUGAUCGGCCUCCUCAACUGUGUAUCGAUCGAAAUGCAGGGCGGCACAACCCCCAACCAAGGGAGUGGUUACGUUCAAUAUGUCCCCCCUUAUUCCCGACAUGCUAUGGUACCCCGGAGUGGGUAGGAGCGGGUCAAGUCCGUAUCACCGCGGAGCAACAGCCGCGUCCGGAUCUAAUAUAUUUACUCAUCAAUUCAUUUGGUGACUUCACGGUCGCCAAAGAAGCCCCACGAAGCAUCAAACAUUUCCGAUGAGAUCCAUGGAGCAAUUCUUAGAUAGCAAGCACUAGCUCCCGGUGCGACUUCAUAAAAAGCAAUCAAAUUGAAGAUCGAAGAGAAUGAAACGUACGUAGUGGUUAUUAUAGCGGUUCCUUCUUUUCCUAGAAAACGUCCGAAAUAACCUGCUACAAAACUACCGAGCAGGGGUAAAAAUACCAUAAGUAGAUACAUGAUUUUAAGUGUGAUCAGACAACCAAAAAUCAGACAAUGACAGAGCGGCCUAUGAUUGAGUGAUAGAUUGAUCGACAACGGAACGAAGAACAAAAAUUUACGACAUCUUUUUCGUAAACAUUCACUUGCAUCACAUCAUCUUCAACCAACCUCCACCCGAGAAGCCCAUGGGAUCCGCUCUACAGAUACCAUCAAAUCCCAGUUUCUGAGAUACCACAUCAGCCCUAUCACCACUAAUACUAGGUUAUCAGGGGACGCUAGGCAUCGGAAUUCAAAAAGUUCUCUUUUUUUUGUCAGUGGAUUUCGCUCAUCAAGUUCUUCUUUGAUCUACCGCUGUUAGAACACCACAAUAUUCGUCUUUUUGGGGUUAAUGUUCUCAAUGGUGAAUCGAUCAUUCGAUAUCCUUUUCCUUCUGCAACAGAAUGGAAGAAAAGUAAUGAAACCUGCGAUGACUACUGAAUAACCUCCUUUUACUUUCUCAAUAAUAAAGCUUUUGACCUUUGUAUUCGUUCGCCAAAUCUUGUUCAGUUCCAUCCAAGCUCGGUUUUGUCUGAAUCUUCGUGGAAGAAGAAGAAGCGGUUCACCAGCCACUACAUCUGUAGAUCCCACCAAAUCAUUAAACCUGACGGCUGCUCGCUCUUUGAUCAGUGAUUCACCUGCCACUAGAUCGAUGAAGAAUCUCUCUAAAAUCUUCUCUUUGAUCAGUGAUUCACCGGCCACUAGAUCCAGGAAUCCUACCUUAUUCUCAAACCUGGUGGCUCGGUUGUUUGGCACUCUUGUAGGCUCAUCUUGCAUACAAAUUCUGGGGGUCCCAAGUCCUGCAUCCACCAAGAACAUUUCUAAGGCGUUUCCACGAUUAAAUAAUAUUUCAUUCUGGUUGUUGCCUCCAAGUCUCUUGCUCCUGUUAACCUCAACCUUAGUAGAAGUGGGUAGUGGCACUGGGUGGACGGUCUAUCCGCCCUUAAGUGGUAUUACCAGCCAUUCUGGAGGAGCAGUUGAUUUAGAAAUUUCUAGUCUUCAUAUAUCUAGUGUUUCAUCCAUUUUAGGUUCUAUUAAUUUUAUAACAACUAUCUUCAACAUGCGUGGACCUGGAAUUACUAUGCAUAGAUCACCUCUAUUUGUGUGGUCCGUUCUAGUGACAACAUUCCCACUUUUAUUAUCACUUCCGGUACUGGCAGGGGCAAUUACCAUGUUAUUAACUGAUCGAAACUUUAAUACAACCUUUUCUGAUCCCGCUGGAGGGGGAGACCCCAUAUUAUACCGGCAUCUCUUUUGGUUCUUCGGUCAUCCAGAGGUGUAUAUUCCCAUUCUGCCUGGAUCCAGUAUCAUAAGUCAUAUCAUUUCUACUUUUUCGGGAAAACCGGUUUUCGGGUAUCUAGGCAUGGUUUAUGCCAUGAUCAAUAUAGGUGUUCUUGGAUUUCUUGUUUGGGCUCAUCAUAUGUUUACUGUGGGCUUAGACGUUGAUACUCGUGCCUACUUCAGCGCAGCUACCAUGAUCAUAGCUGUCCCCACUAGAAUCAAAAUCUUUAGUUGGAUCACUACCAUGUGGGGGGGUUCGAUACAAUACAAAACACCCAUGUUAUUUGCUGUAGGUUUCAUCUUUUUGUUCACCAUAGGAGGACUCACUGGAAUAGUUCUAGCUAAUUCUGGGCUAGACAUUGCUCUACAUGAUACUUAUUAUGUGGUUGCAAAUUCCCAUUAUGUACUUUCUAUGGGAGCCGUUUUUGCUUUAUUUGCAGGAUUUCACUAUUGGGUAGGUAAAAUCUUUGGUCGGACAUACCCUGAAACUUUAGGUCAAAUCCAUUUUUGGAUCACUUUUUCGGGGUUAAUAUGACCUUCUUUCCUAUGCAUUUCUUAGGGCUUUUGAGUAUGCCACAUCGCAUUCCAUAUUAUCCAGAUGCUUACGCUGGAUGGAAUGCCCUUAGCAGUUUUGGCUCUUAUAUAUCCGUAGUUGGGAUUUGUCAUUUCUUUGUGGUCGUAACAAUAACUUCACGCAGUGGAAAGAACAAAAGAUGUGCUCCAAGUCCUUGGGUUGUUGAACUGAAUCCAACCACAUCGGAAUGGAUGGUACAAAGUCCUCCAGCUUUUCAUACUUUUGGAGACCUUCCAGCUAUCAAGGAGACGAAAAGCUAUGUGAAGUAAAAGAAGAAAAGGUCGCCGAUUGCUACUAAGAACCUAACAGAACUUUUUAAAAUGUGGGUUAAAAAACCACUUGUGUAGGUCGGGGUUGAGAAUUGGGAGGUCGCGCCCUACCCCGUCGGCCUAAGCCUCGCUAUGAGAACUGACGCUUUCUAACUCUCUAUGAGGAGUGAAAGCCACUACAUUGUAAGGAGAGGAGCUCCGACCCUACUUCAAUUAAAGCUCGCCGCCCCUUUUUUCCCUCUAAAGCCCCUCGCUCCACUCAUUUUUUAACUUCUAAUCAGACCUGGCUGAACUUUCCACUUAAUAGAUCAAAGGGUCAUUCGUUAGCCCUACUAGUCAAAUACAGGAAAAAGAGGGAUGGAUUUCGACCUUGCUUUUUUAGGUCUCAGGCUAGCUUUUGACUUAUAUGGCGCUUAGGCUUAGCUCAUCAAACAAGUGCGCCAAAAGUGGGGGAUGGUAUCAUAUUCUCUUAUAAGAGAGGCACGGCUGCUUUUAGCUCGAAGUUUCACCGUGAUCUAGGCAUAGGUAGCAAUCCAUUCUAGAAUUCUUCUCAUUACCUCUCAUGGGAAAAAGAUCCCACUAAGAAAAGAAUUAUAUAGUACGAAAUAACAUAAAAACUUCUUUUUUUAAAGAAAAAAACAAAAGAUAUGAAUCCUCUAUUCCAAUUGUUCCUUUUUGAUAGGAAUCGAUAAGAAAUAAGAAAUAUUUCAAGGCGAUUCGAUUUCAUACUAAUGUAGUAGUAUAGGAACUAUUCCGAUUUCGGUGAAGUUACAAAUUCGAAGAACUCGAGAAAUUUUGAUUGAAUCAUGAUACAAAUUACAAAGAAGAAAAAAGACCGAAAAAUCAUUCUAUGAUGAAAAUAGAAUAACUGCCAAUUUUGUGUACAUAACCGGUAUACACUAUAAUCUAAUUGUUUUUUAUAAAUUUCUAUUCUAAUAGAGGGGUAGGUGUUUGUUGUUGAGAACUCCAAAACCGAAAAGUAAUUUGAAUAUUUUUCUGGUAUGGAAUCAUAGUCUAUAUAAUUAGAAUUAUGAUUUAAGAGUAUCCAUUAACUAUAGUCUAAAAGAUAUAGACCAUCAAUCAGUUGAUUCGUUCUAAUUCAUUGAAUUAAUCCGUUAUAAAAGUAUCAGAAAAAGAAGGGAACGUUGUUUUUGCAAACAUGAAUCGAUUUUUUUUUUCACAUGACAAUUUCCUCGGUAAACAAUCCUUUUGAUUACAGUUCUAUAUAAGAUCUCAUGGUAGCGAACCAAAAUCCUAUUUUCCAAAUUCGAGUGAUCUAUCCACCUGAUGUAUCACGGGGAAUCACGGGACCUUACUUAUUCAAGGGGGACUUGAUUCUGAAAUGGAAUGAUUGAUAGAAUCGAUAUUUCAUAGAAGAAUGACCGAGACCAUAAAAUCCUUUCACACCCGCACAUGUGGCUGAAUAUAUAAGGAAGUUCACACACCCUGGAAAAAUCCAUCUUGUAUCCUUGACUUGCCAGCUUGAUCGCUUGUCUUAUUUACCGUUUUCUUAGCGGGUAGUAACACAAGACAAUUCACUGAAUGGUUGUUGGCUCUACCGGAGGAGUCUGAAAUCAACAACGUGUAACUGCUUGGGCAUUGAGUGUUCCGCUGCUUGAGGAAGUAUGUGAGAGGAUCGAUGUUGAGCAGAAGUGGGGUUAAAGCAGCCAACAACGCAUCCCCCUUUACUUAGUAGGGCUUGAAAGGCUGGACAGUUUGUUUUCCUUUCCUGUCCAGUAUUUUCAAUCCAAGCCGAAAUAGGAAAAGCCGCAAGCACCACUAGGCUCGGUCGUCGGUUGAACGUCAGUAGAGUCCGAUAUUCAUUCCUUACUCAAAUAGGAAGGUGGCAGUCUCAAUGACGCGGUGUGGUCUAGAACAAGCCUUUGCUGAUCCAUGGGGUAUUUGUUUUGGUUACAAGAAGUGCUUCUUUGCUCGCUUGCUGCGCCUCGACUCGGGUUUCCGCUGUAGGAUUGAGUGAGGUGAGGAGAGUUGAAGCCGAGGUUCCUUGCUACGCUCCAUAGAUGUUCGUAUGAUUCUUGUGGAUUUUGGGUGUGUUUGAAUUCAGCCUCUCGUUAGGUCUUCACUGAAGGAUUGUCCACCUUCUCAAGACUCUCUACCAUACCCUUAGAAAGUGACAACAAUGACUUCCAUUAUUAAAUGGAAGAACUUUUCAAACUAGUUGAUAGUUGUUCCCUGGUUGCACCCCACAAUGGGUUCUAAUUUACAAAAUCACAUGUUUCUGUUUUCGGAACAUCACAUGUAGAGUUUUUUGGGGGAGAAUCACUCGGCGCGAGGCCUCCCGUGUGAGGUCAGGUGAUGGUCAACAACUCAGGCAGGAAAUACUGAAAAGCGGCUAACGAUGCAAGAGAUCUUUUCCCCUUAUACGCUCUAAAAAAAGGGUAUGUCGGGUUUUUGGACCCUAUGUUGAGUAAGGGUUCCAAACCUUCCAAAAGUGAUAGAUAUGUGUUGUUUCUUGGCACUCUCUUUCUAUAUUAUGCCAACCUAAAAAGAGCGAUUGAAAGUGGAUUUCAGGUUUGAUAGUCUCGAGAAGGUAUUAGCCACCGGUGACCAUACUUUUGUAAAAGCACCAUUGGGCAGUGGUUCCUCUCCUUCCUCUUGAAGCUCGAACAAAAAAUCGAUCUCGCCAUCAGCUCUACUAAGAGUUCCAAAUCGAAAAAGUAAACUAAACUUGACUUAAGACGAAGGAAGCGAGUGCCGAAAAAAACCGCUUUCUUAAGGCUUCAAACUACUAGUCAUUAAGACUACUAUGAAUGAAAAGUAAGGAAGUCAUUUUCUUAACUUGGCCUGUGUGCAUUAUACCUAACCUUUUAACUUGAUUUCAAUCUCAACAAAGAAAUGAAAGCAUAACUCUUUGCUCGCUUGCAGCGCCUCUUAGUCUUUUAUUUUAGCCUGCCUUGUGAAGAUCUCUCGGGUGUCUACGGCAGAUCCGAUCAGUCUUGUGAUGAAGAGAAGUCUUUUACGAUGUUGAAAGGUAUCAUCACGACAACUCAAUUUGUCUGGUAAACUACUCGGGGCUACCCAUGGUUUAGUAAAAUGGAGGGGAAUUUUUUUUUUCAUCUGGGGGUUCAUUCAUUAUGAACUAAAAAGUGGUUGGCUGAUUAGUGAGGUCUUAAAAAUGUCAUAGAAUUCAUGAUCAGCCAUUCCAUUUUUGCUUUCAGCAAGUAGGCGACGCGAAUCUAUGCUUUCUAUCUUUCAAUCGGAUACCAAUAGCUUGGAUGCGUUUGAAAGACUCGAGAUGACUUGCAGAAUAAAUUCUUUCUAGGUUUGUCUUGUGUCUCCGAAACAAACGGUUUAUUUAUUGAUGGGCGAACGACGGGGAUUGAACCCGCGCGUGGUGGAUUCACAAUCCACUGCCUUGAUCCACUUGGCUACAUCCGCCCCUACCCCCGCACAGGUUGAAGUCUCUAUCUACGAUCAAAUCCUUUCUGAACUCCCCUAUGACCGCUUAUCAAAGAGAAGCUUUUUCCUAUACUAUAGUGGCAAGUCUAUUGUUGUGUUCGGAAUUAGGGGAAACAAAUCUUCAACAAGUAGAAGCUUCCUGGCAAAGCUUCAAACAAUGAGGUUGGGUUGUUCACUUCAUUGAUUUGACUUUACUUUACUUAAGAUUAAAGAUAGGGGUCGGUCGGGCAGUGAAGGCUCAUUUAGUAGACAGUGAGCGAGCUGCAAGCACCUACUCCUAUCAAAAUGAGAAGCAGCAAGCGUAACUUGAACUUGAAGAAGCGAGCCUCUAUCAGAGAAAGCCAUUGUGUGCUAGCCCUUUGUCUUGUAUAGGGUGGAAAACCUGCGCACCCCUAAACUACAAGCUUUCUUUGAAGCCCCUACAACAUGGGAUAUUUGAAGAAUCCCCUUUCUACAAACCUUUCUAUAAUAUAAGAGAAGCUCUUCGAGCUUUCUUCGCAUGCUUGAGCUCAUCCCCUUUCUAUUAGUAAGGUUGUCAAAUUUCCUUUAGUUCCUUUAUGACUAUAAUAUAAAUAAUAGGGGUAGGGGGCGCUAACGAGCAAGAAAACGGAUGUGCUAAGGCGCAACUUCUACGCCCUUGCUUCUUGCCUUAUCUUUUACUAAGAAACUAAUCUAAAUAGAAGCCCUUCUUUCUCAAAGUAAACUUUCUCCCUUCUUGCUCUAGUGAAAUAAGGGGCGCUAACGCGACCUUCCUUUAGCAGGCUUCGCCCUAUCUAUUCAUCUAUUUUCUUAAAUGGAUAUUUAGGGAUCUCUCUUGUUCAUAGAUCUUGAAAGCAGAUCAAUAUCCAUUUUUCAAUAGAUCUAUUUAUCGAUAGAAAGAUAUAGAUCUCUAUAUGGAUCUAUCUCCAUAUCUAAAUAUGGAAGAACCGACAAAACAAGGGCGUAACCAAUGGAAGGUUCUCACCCUGUCCCCAACAUUGUUCUCCGACGAUGUCCCCUAGGCGAAAGGAGCCACCAUUCUCUUUCUUUCUUCAAUCGUUCCGAUCAGGACAAGUGGUUCGUUUCGUCCUCCUAUCUACGCAAUUCUCUGUCAUCGUUCGUGAUCAUGUUGGGCGAAAGGUAGUUGUAGAGGAGCGGCUGUGAAACGGCGAUUCACCCCUUUCCAUUGAAGUAGGGAGGGCCUCUUUCCCCACCAUUCCGGCCUAUCAAUCAGAAUUUCAGUUAAAAUAAAGCAUUGGGUCGAAUUUAUGAUUCUCGUUCUUGAAAAUCCACACUUUUCCAAACCCAGAAAACAGACGGAAUUCUAAGAUUCCUCCUGGAGGCAAAUACUUUUAUGCAUACCUCCUCUGGUUGAUCCACACCAUCCUCUAUUCUCGAAAGAUGAUUCACACUAGCUAACAACCCGCCAGGCGCUACAUCAUAGGCACAUUGAGAGCGGAGAUAGUUGUACCCAUAUACAUAAAAAAUGAUAGCAAGGGAAUGCCAAUCCUCGGGCUUUAUUUGUAAAGUCUCUAUUCCUUGGUAAUCAAAGCCCAAAGAUCUAUGAAUUAGCCCAUGCUUGACUAGCCAAGCAGACAAACGACCCUACAUCUUUUUUAUCUCUCCCACAUUUUUAUAUAUAUAUAAGUAUUUCACAUUUACGAUGAAAUUUCUGAAAAUUGACCCACCACUUUUUAUUAUGGACAAAGGAAUCCUGUCUAAUUCACUAAUUCGGGGGAAGAUACUGAAUUUUUGUAUUUGAAAAAGAUUUCCAUAGGGAUCUCUGAAGUAGAUGGCGGUUGAUAAAGAACUCUUUGAUCAUAAUUUUCCGUAUGAAUACUGCGUUGAACAUGAAACUUGUGAUUGGUAGUAAAACACUGAUUCGCUCGUUGAGACCUAAUUCGAUCUUCAUAGAGUUCUCGAGAUAUUUUCUUAUGAAGUUUUGUUAUAGCAUCUAUAACCGCUUCCAGUUUAGGUGGGCAACUUGGCAAAUAUACAUAUACAGGAAUUAACUUAUCGACUCCCCGAACAGUACUAUAAGAAUUGGUACUGAACAUCCCGUCUGUAAUUGUACAGGAUCCCAUAGCAAUAACAUAUUUUGGUUUAGACAUUUGCUCAUAUAAUAUCACUAAAGAGGGGGCCAUUUCAUUGUUACUGUUCCGGCUGUUAAAAUUAGAUCUGCUUGUCUAGGACUCGAUCUUGGUACUAGUCCACAACGAUCAAAGUCGAAGCGUGAGAUAGCAUUGGGACAUGCUAUUAUAUGAGGGGGCCAUAACUUUGAGGAAGAUAACAUUGGGAAAUUCUAUUACCUAUGUAUGGUGACGGGUGUCAUGCCAGAGUCUGUCCGGGUGGGAUCAAGCUAAAGUAGGAGAAGAGAGUUAGCUUUCUGUUGAGUGAGCCCGAACAGGAGCGGACGCACACUAGAUCAGAGCAAGUUUAGCUGGCCUAAUGGCACAGACACCUACUAGGAUGAGGCAUAGCGAGAAUUAAACCCACAUCUCGUUGAGCUGCUCCAGCAAGCAUCCCUUUCGGAAGCUCAAUUUGUAGGACCGGGGAGAACACUCACAGGCAUGCAGGCGUUUUGAAAGAGAGCAAAACUCUAACUUGAGUAUGUGCUAGCCAGGCAAAAGGGUUAGCCUGAAGUGGUGAUUUAGCCAAAGGGGGAACGUGCAACGGUUGGAUUCAGCACGCUCUUAGAAUAGCUGUGGAAAUCCAAACGCCUAUCCCAACACGGAGAGCUUAUCCACUACAUCUACAUAAGGAAUAGUCUAGUCCAAUAUUUCUUGUCCUUAAAAUAUCAUAUAUGCACCACUGCUGAUCCUUUCUAAAUCCAGCUUCAACCGAGCAUACGUCUGUCGCGGGAACAGGAAGAACGAAAAUUUACUUUUAUGUUGAAGUCUUUCCCGUUGGAAGGCUGUUUAUGAGCGGAAGGGAAGUAGAGGCAGAGGGUCCGAAUGAGAGAGGAGAUCUCUGCUCUUAUCGUUAAUUAGGUAUGCCUCCAGAUCUGAAUGUAUACCCUAGGCCAAGGGGUGCGAUCCCCCGAGCAUAUCUUCAUACUAUGGGGUUAUAUAAUCUCCUUGACCUUUCGAUUGAGGUUAUUCAGCAGUGGGCCUACCUUAAGGUAGGAGGUGAUUGAAAAAGGGGAAGUCAGUCCCCUUACAUAGCCAUAAUAGUAAGUUUUUUUGAAGUAGCUGAACAAUUGAAUCGGCUGGUAUAGAAUCAGCUGCACAUUAAUCUUCCUCUAUUUUAUCAAUUUCAUUCUUUUUUAUGUCCACAUGUUUGCUUUAAAAAGGAAGUAAGGCCACCUCUGAAGUUUGAGAACCAGCUGGAACUUGGACUGCUGACUAAUCUAAUAUCCUAUCAAAAAAGAUGAACUUGCUGGUAAUAUACUGUAUGUAAGACUGACAGGCUUCGAAUGAGGCUUUGAAUAAAAAGAUAGAGGUUCUCAAGAGCGGAUCUUCAAGAGCAAAGACCGGAGAACAAUAAGAGCUGAUUUGUCUCAAUUAGGCUUUUGACGGAGCGGAGAAAGAUCUUAUUUUAACUUAGGGAAUUCCUCUAUAAAGAAUAAGGGAGAAAAUAUACAACUUAGCAAACUAGCCUCCUUCUUACUAGCAUUUUUCCAGGUCCUCUCGAACCAACUUCUUCUAACCUGGUGCUCUCACUUAUCGGACUAGUAUAGGUCCAAACCAAAGUCAAAGCUCCAAAAGUCUAAGGAUAAGUUCCUUCUCUAUGGAAGAAAGAGAGUGCCACAGCUAUUAUUUCAAAAGCUCAGAAAUUCCUUCUGGGAACAGCCAGAAGAUAAAAAGACCAGUGCCUGGCCUGCUACUGCUUCAGAUGGAUAAUAUGACGUUACUACUCUCCUUCCUGCUUGCCAUUUCCUUUUUAAAGCUGCUCAUUAUUCAACCCCAGGAUGUGAUGACCUAUUAUAUCUUAACUUUAGCUACUCAGAAACCUAAACGAUGUUUUUCCCCCGUCUUCCCAAACUAAUUUACCUAUUUGAGAUGUCUCCAUGUGUGGUGUGAUAAGAUAAGGACCACUAGGGGCCCGGUUUGUCCUUCUUCCCGCAAGAACCCUAACCCUUCAUUCUAUUCCAUACAGCCUUGGUAGGACAUCUAUUUCUCAAUUCUAUAAACUGGUAAGCUCCAUUUUUUUUAUGGGACCUGAAGGCUAGGCUAAACCUCCCUCAAAGGGACGAAGUGACUCGACUGAAAGGAGAGGGAUGAAGUGAGCGAAACUCUUUUUCAAAGAACUGGCGAUAUUCCCUUAAUUGCAGAUUCAAUAGCACCGAUUAUGAACCCGGAAAGAGAAGAGCACCGUCUACUCAUACUGUCACACCGGCAAGGAAUUUCACUUUCUAAAUAGAAAGGAAGAGGUCAGGCCCACCUUUGACAAGAGUAGAAGCUGGUACUCAACACUUGUAUUCUAUUCCCCAUUAUUUAUCUUUCUCGCUAUUAGAAAUAUCAUAAGAGAAGAAAGAAGUUCAUGUAGGUCGGAUCCUAGCGUAGAGAAAUGCUAUCCGACUUGAAUGAUCGAAUCAAUUCUUUCACUUUGUCGAACUCGAAAUGGAGGCUCUCUUUACCAAGAGGAGAAGAUAAGGUCUUUUGGCAAUAGAAGGCAUAUUACUAAUUGAUUCUUUGGCCAUUUUGUGUUAGAAUUCGAAACCGUCGAGGGGCUGCUGGAUGCUUCUGAUCAAUAGAACACGAAGAAGAGGAUAAAAAAAAGCUUAUGAUGAGCUUGAGAAAAAAAUGCUUAUGAUGAGCCCCAUCACAGAGAUGCACAAAGGAAGAGAACGAACGUCAGCUUUGUUAUUCUCUCUUUUGAAACAAAUUUUUCUCAGUCUCACUGUCCUUUUACUUACUCCUAUCCUUUUAAACUGUAAUUGGGACUUUUCUUUUGAAGCCGCUUUCUUUACUUCAUUUCUUAGCGACUUCCUGGAUUUUUGGCUUUCUUUAAUGGAUAGAAUUCCUCUUUCCGUCGGAGGCGAUGGAAGUGGUCCUAGCUUAUCGAAAAAACCUUCCUUUGAUCUCAACAUAUCCGCGGAUGUAGAAGAGCCAGGGGAUCGGUCCAAGAUCGAAAGAGCCUUGGAUCAACUUGAAUUGGCAAAUAUUAAAGAACAAAAAGAUCUCUUCGCCGAACAGAUUAGCCCCCUGAUUGAAUUAGAAAAGGCACGCCUUGUUCGAAGGAAGUGGCACCGCAACUUGGAUGAACUUCCAUCACCAAGUGAAAUGGUGGAAAUCAUUAUUGACCGCUUCAGCAGCAAAGCUGCCUAUAAUGCCAACAAACCCAAUGUCCCCAGGGCUAAUUUAUGGCACUUGAGGGCUUGGUUAACCCGAGCUCAACACUCGGCGGAGUAGGAUGGGAAGGGAAACAUGAGUAUAAAAAAUCAUAUUUCUUCAAUAAUUGAAGGAUAUUUCAAGUAGAAAAGCUGACGUAUUGUUUCACAUUUGAAUUACUCUUACAUUCUACGUUCCCGAAAUGGAUCCUAUCAAAUAUUUCACAUUUUCUAUGAUUAUCUCUAUUUCAGGUAUUCGGGGAAUCCUCCUUAAUAGACGAAAUAUUCCUAUUAUGUCAAUGCCAAUUGAAUCAAUGUUAUUAGCAGUGAAUUCGAACUUUUUGGUAUUUUCUGUUUCUUCGGAUGAUAUGAUGGGUCAAUCAUUUGCUUCAUUGGUUCCAACGGUGGCAGCUGCGGAAUCUGCUAUUGGGUUAGCUAUUUUCCUUAUUACUUUCCGAGUCCGAGGGACUAUUGUUCUAGAAUCUAUUAAUAGCAUUCAAGGUUAAAGAUGACUCUAGAGAGUUACCAAAAUACAAAGUUCUCUUCUCAUUUCUUUCUCUUCUUUCUUUUUGAUACUUGGUUAGUAGGGUCAGGGCCUUUCUUGCUGGGCGAGCGCAUCCGAUUCUAAAGUCCUUUCUUAUUCUUAAACCACUUCCCUCAUGUAAUUAACCUCGUUGGAAGGAUACUUAGUUGGAAACAAAUAGGAGAAACGAUUAAUGAAUAUGCAUGGGAAAUAUUUAUUCUUUGGUAGAGGUUGAAUCGAUCAUCAGAAGAAGAAUUAGGACAAAAAUUAGGAUACAUUCUGGGAAAAUCAAACUUCCAUCGAAGAGAACCAAAUGAAAGGCUUUCAUAAAAAUUCUCGUAUAAUCGAGAAUGAAGUUUUCAUUCUGUACAUGCCAGAUCAUGAAUUAGUAACUUCUUCCAAUUUCCAAAAAAAAAAUCCCAAUUGUGUCGACACUAACAAUCCAUCCUUCCCCUCCAAAAGGGGAUUUUAGUAAAUAACCAAAUAUGAUACUCGGGCUAAGGGUCAAGUUGGUAAUUCUUCUUACAUCUCCCCCUCCCGGAGCCCAGGUAUCAUAUACGCCCCCAAAAUAAAGAGCCUUGAAUACUAGAAGAAAAGCACCUAGACCUAACAAGAUUAAGUCAAUACCUAAAAUUGUGGUCAUUUUAUUUCGAUCUUUCCAGACAUAACCAAAGAAGGGAAAAGAUUCUUCAAGUGUCUCAGGUCCCAAAAGUGCAUGAUAAAUGCCGCCAAAGCCCAAUACUGCAGAAGAAGUUAAAUGAAGUACUCCAGAUAUAAAGUAUGGAAAGGUGUCUAUAACUUCUCCCCAAGGCCUACCCCCAACCUAGAUUAGCUAGGUGGGGAAGUAAAAUUAAUCCUUGUUCAUACAUAGGCUUCUCUGGUACGAAAUAGGCCACUUCAAAUAGGUUCAUUGCUUCGGCCCAGAAUACGAUUAAUCCAGCAUGGUCUACAUGAGCCCUUAGUAGUUUAUCGGAUAAAUUGAUAAGUCGGGCAUUCUCGGCCCACCAAGUUAAACCAAUGGUUUCUUGGUCACGACCAGCUAAGGCUAAAGUUACAUUAAAAAGAGUUUCCACAUGGUAGAACCUCCUCAGGGAAUAUAAGGUUUUCAUGAGGCUGAUUUUGAGCCGCCAUCCAAGCGUGAAUACCUUCGUUUAAGAGAAUACUUUUGGUGUAGAAAGUCUCAAAUUCAGGAUCUUCCGCUGCGCGAAUUUCCUGAGAAACGAAGUCAUAGGCACGUAGGUUCAGGGCUAGACCGACUACUUCAAGAGCACUCAUCCAUAAACUGCUUACUGGUACAAAUAACAUAGAGAAAUGUAACCAACGUUUAUUGGAAAAAGCAACCCCAAAGAUUUGGGACCAAAAGCGGUUAGCGGUGACCAUUGAAUAAGUUUCUUCGGCUUGAGUUAGGUUAAAAGCACGAAAUGUAUUUGCACCAUCACCGUCUUCAAAUAAAGUAUUUUCUACGGUAGCAUCAUGAAUGGCGCAUAGCAAAGCAGUGCCCAAUACACCGGCAACUCCCAUCAUAUGAAAUGGGUUCAACGUCCAAUUAUGAAACCCUUGAAAAAAGAGGAUGAAUUGAAAUAUAGCUGCUACACCAAAACUAGGUGCAAAGAACCAACCAGACUGACCCACUGGAUAAAUCAGAAAUACAGAAACAAAAAUAACAAUUGGACCAGAGAAUGCGAUUACAUUAUAAGGUCUCAAUUGAACAGGUCGAGCAAGAUCGAAUUGACGUAACGUGAAACCUAUUAGGUCAAAAGCUCCAUGGAGAGCAACAAAAGUCCACAGACCCCCCAAUUGACACCAACGAGUAAAAUCUCCUUGUACUUCAGGACCCCAUAGUAACAACAACAAAUGUGCUAAACUAUUAGCAGGAGUAGAAUAAUUCCGGAUUUUCGUCAUUAAUGAAUUAUUCAUUAGAAUCGCCAUUAGAAAUCUAGUAGUAGUAUUUUUUUACUUUAGAAUUAUUUCAAUUGAAUUUAUUUCGAUUAUUUUAGUUUAGAUUAUUUAGUAUUUCGAAUUUUAUUUAGAAUUUUAUUUUUUUAUUUAUAAAUAAAAAAAGUAAUAAAUACAAAAAAUAGAAAUAAUAAGGAAGAGUAGGAUUUUUACAGGGAAUGAUUGGUCCGUCAGAAAAGGAAAAAGGUGUGAAAUUCGAAUUCUUUCACUUUUAUUUGAUUCAUUGUUAAGACGAGAUAUCCUUAUCUCCCUCCCACCUCUUGCUCGACGAACCAACUUCAGGCCUUGAUUCGUCCUCCGCAAGGAAGGAACGAGUCGGUUCCCCUUUCCGUCUUUCGGUAGCAUAAAGAAAAUAGAUUCAAAUUGACAAACCACCAAAAGAGUGAGAAAAAGGGAGCAAGUGUAAAUUAGGCCAUGUGCAACAAACAAAGUACACGGAUAGCACCGUACCCUCAUAGUCCUCAAUCUUUGGCACAUCUGGAUCGGGAUCGGCGGAAACUCACUCGGUCUGCGCGUCUACCGGGGCACCAUACUGACUUUUUCCUUUAUGAUAUAAGGAGUGCAAAGAACUUCAUAAAGAGUGAAUAGAAUUCACUCUAUACCCAUAUCCCUGGAACAACUGUAAAAUAAACUCCAUCUUAGUCUACCCGACUUUGACUUUGACUUGAAAGAGUAAGUUUUUGCCUCUGUUGUUGAAAAGUCAGGACCAAUUGGGGAAUCUAUUCUAGACACGCCUACCGGCCCUAAAUCAAUCUUAUUCUUCCUUGGUCUCUUAUACGGAUUGGUGGAUAUGAAAUAGAAUGAAUUCAAGGACAAAGUCGCCAGUAUACUGUGAUCCAGAUCCAGGAAGGGCUAGACAUGAAUCGGAAAGAGUCACUUUUCUCAUAGGAGAAAGGGUGCGCGCUAAAGCUAGAGCAACUCUUUUUCGCGAUAUAGGUGUAAUUUAAUUAAUUCAGUACUUAAGGUCUUCCCUCGUCAAACGAAUAAAUAGAAACAGGUUGGCUUUUCGUCGUGCUCCUUUUUUCAGUUAUAGGGCGGAGAGAGGGAGACAACUGAAACUUUUAGAGUCAAGUUUACGCUCUUUCCUCCUCUUUCGAUAAGUUUUUCAUAGCCGUAGUCGUACUCAAGUACCCUUGCAGGGGAAUCCACUUCUGAGAUGGAGAGAAUCCCGGGAUGCAUAUGCUCUUUUCAGGGUUGAAGGAAGAAGUAAGCGCAGCUAUUGGACUUAUUUGUGGUAUGGAAGCAGUAGCAAAGAAAGAAGUUGCUCACUCUGCUUUACCGACAAAGGGGUGACUAUCAUACGAAAAUGAAACUAGUAAAGUAAGAUGCCAGAACUCUCGCUUUCGUCUUGUCUUUACUCUUCCCCCAUCCUCCCGUCGCCUGUCCACUCAACUCUGAUACCCGAAUCUCCUUUUGUUUGAAGUUUAUUGGACAUGAAUGAACCCGAACAGAUGUACCCGCUGCUUCUGCUUUCUUCCAUAUGGGUUCAGUUUCAUAAUGUUAUUGCAGGACUCCAUUUAUUGAAUUUGGUCUAGCUAUAUUACAAGAUUAUGUUUUUAUGAUCUUAAUCUAAUUAUAGUAGACAACCGACUUUCUUAAUAAAGAGAAGUUGGGGACAUAGUAAACCUCCUACUAUAAGAGCGAUUCCCUGGGACCGGAAGGGGAAAGAUUGAAUCUUGAAAGACUGAGCCCCCGGCUAGCAAGAUCGGGAGGGUUAGUGUCCUCUUAAGAAGGAAUACCCAACUUCUGGGGUCAGCUUCGAUCACGAGGAGAGAAGAGUGGACCAUUGAAAGUCUCAAUUCCGAUCCGCCCAAGGUAGAGAGUUCGAUUUCAAAUCCAACGAUUUAUUGACCUACGAAUCCGCUAUUAUGCAACUCAACCCUUCUCCGCAACUCUUUCAGUUGUUGGAUGCGCAAAACAACCUAUUCCCCUUUACGACGACUCGGUGACCUUUGACAUGUUACACCCGGUUGCACGUAAUCUUUACUUUCGCCUUUCACUCAUGCAGUUGGACUGACUAGUGACUUUAAAUUAAAAUUUGAGACUGAGCCCUGCCUCUCACCUUUCGGUUCAUUGCAAGGAAAGACUAAAAAGAAAAAAGGAAGCUUUUGGCGGACAAAAGCCCUCGGGACUUGACACUUGGACACCGGGAAGCUUGCCCCUUGAGACUGGGUCCUUCGUUUGGAACUGCCCUUUUCCUUUGCAAAGUGGAAUUCCUCCUUGCUUUCCCCUUUGACCCGUGCCAAACUCCACCUUUGCUGUUGCCAGGUGGAAUGAUUCAAGUCAUUGGAUCCGAACGAUCCGCCUGGUAUUCGAACAUUGGCUCGAGGCAUUUUCUCUACCCCUUCUUACCCUGACAAAGCAGGGACACCUUACGUUCUUGAACCGAUAACCAUCUUUCGGCUAACCUAGCCUCCUCCGUCCCUUGGGACCAACAAGGUCUAGUACAGGAAUAUUCACCUGUUGUCCAUCGACUAAGCCUUUCGGCCUGAUCUUAGGCCCUGACUCACCCUCCGUGGACGAACCUUGCGGAGGAACCCUUAAGCUUUCGGGGCAUUGGAUUCUCACCAAUGUUUACGUUACUCAAGCCGACAUUCUCGCUUCUGCUUCAUCCACCACCGCUCGCGCGGAGUCUUCUCUCUAAGGCGGAACGCUCCCCUACCGAUGUAUUUUUACAUCCCACAGCUUCGGCAUAUCGCUUAGCCCCGUUCAUCUUCGGCGAAAGAGCGCUCGAUCAGUGAGCUAUUACGCACUCUUUCAAGGGUGGCUGCUUCUAGGAAAACCUCUUGGCUGUCUCUGCACCCCUACCUCCUUUAUCACUGAGCGAUCAUUUAAGGGCCUUAGCUGGUGAUCCAGGCUGUUUCCCUCUCGACGAUCAAGCUUAUCCCCCAUCGUUUCACUAGCCGACCUUGAACCCUGUUAUUUUGAGGUCAUAUCUAGUAUUCAUAUUUUUCUUCAAUUUGGUACCACUCUCGCAGCUCGCACCAAAACAGUGCUUUACCCCUAGAUGUCCAGUCAACUGCUACGCCUCAAUGCAUUUCGGGGAGAACCAGCUAGCUCUAGGUUCGAGUGGCAUUUCACCCCUAACCACAACUCAUCCGCUGAUUCUUCAACAUCAGUAGGUUCGGACCUCCACUUAGUUUCACCCAAGCUUCAUCCUCGUCAUGGAUAGAUCACCUAGGUUUGGGUCCAUAAGCAGUGACAAUUGCCCUAUGAAGACUCACUUUUGCUACGGCCCCGGUGGGUUCCCUUAACCAAGCCACUGCCUAUGAGUCACCGGCUCAUUCUUCAACAGGCACGCGGUCAGAGCCCUGGCUCCUCCCACUGCUUGGGAGCUUACGGUUUCAUGUUCUAUUUCACUCCAUGAUGGGGGUUCUUUUCACCCGUCCCUCACGGUACUACUUCGCUAUCAGUCACCCAUGAGUAUUUAGCCUUGCAAGGUGGUCCUUGCUGAUUCACAUAGGAUUCCACGUGCCCAUGCUACUCGGGUCAGAGCAUAAGCUAGUGAUGCUUUCGGCUACUGGACUUUCUCCAUCUAGGGUGUAGCGUUCGGGCUGCUUCGCCUAGCAGCACGAUGCUUGUAUUGCUCUCCCACAACCCCGUUUUCACGGUUUAGGUUGCUCCCAUUUCGCUCGCCGCUACUACGGGAAUCGCUUUUGCUUUUUUUUCCUCUGGCUACUAAGAUGUUUCAGUUCGCCAGGUUGUCUCUUGCCUGCCCAUGGAUUCAGCAGCAGUUCGAAAGGUUGCCCUAUUCGGGAAUCUCCGGAUCUAUGCUUAUUUUCAACUCCCCGAAGCAUUUCAUCGAUUACUACGCCCUUCCUCGUCUCUGG